rnacentral:tRNA from 2 species
GCACCAUUAGCUCAGUUGGUAGAGCACCUGACUCUUAAUCAGGGUGUCCCGGAUGUAGCA